UAAUACAGAGGGUGCGAGCGUUAAUCGGAGUUACUGGGCGUAAAGGGCGCGUAGGCGGUUAUAUAAGAUUGGUGUGAAAUCCCUGGGCUUAACCUAGGAACUGCAUCGAUAACUGUAUGACUGGAGUAUUGUAGAGGGUAGUGGAAUUUCCGGUGUAGCGGUGAAAUGCGUAGAGAUCGGAAGGAACACCAGUGGCGAAGGCGGCUACCUGGACAAAUACUGACGCUGAGGCGCGAGAGCGUGGGGAGCAAACAGGAUUAGAUACCCUGGUAGUCCACGCUGUAAACGAUGAAAACUAGAUGUUGGUCAGCAUGACUGAUUAGUAUCGAAGCUAACGCGAUAAGUUUUCCGCCUGGGGAGUACGACCGCAAGGUUA
rnacentral:rRNA from 1 species